rnacentral:rRNA from 1 species
GCAGACCAUCCUACGGGAGGCAGCAGUGGGGAAUAUUGCACAAUGGGCGCAAGCCUGAUGCAGCCAUGCCGCGUGUAUGAAGAAGGCCUUCGGGUUGUAAAGUACUUUCAGCAGUGAGGAAGGUGGGUAUGUUAAUAGCAUACUCAUUUGACGUUAGCUGCAGAAGAAGCACCGGCUAACUCCGUGCCAGCAGCCGCGGUAAUACGGAGGGUGCGAGCGUUAAUCGGAAUUACUGGGCGUAAAGCGCAUGCAGGUGGUUUGUUAAGUCAGAUGUGAAAGCCCGGGGCUCAACCUCGGAAUUGCAUUUGAAACUGGACAAACUAGAGUACUGUAGAGGGGGUAGAAUUUCAGGUGUAGCGGUGAAAUGCGUAGAGAUCUGAAGGAAUACCGGUGGCGAAGGCGGCCCCCUGGACAGAUACUGACACUCAGAUGCGAAAGCGUGGGGAGCAAACAGGAUUAGAUACCCUGGUAG